rnacentral:lncRNA from 1 species
UCCACAUGAUCACCCAUAAUUUGUUUCAACACAAUGUUUCUAGCUUUCCUUGCUACAGUCCUCCCUACAUACACAUUCAACUCUUUCUUCACUAAAAUUUGAAACUGAAAAACUCUAAUGCCAGGCUCAGAAAUAAUUCUGUCCUUGUACCUUUCUGAUAAGUACUUUGAAUUCACCAAUUUAUUUUUGGUUGUGCCAUUGCAUUUAUGUACUGGAUUAUAAUUCUUCACCACAAAAUCUCUUGUUCUUGAAUCAAUACUUCCAAACAACAACCAUAGACAACCAG